AUAAUAAUCCCUCCGUCCGAAAAUACUUGUCAUCAAAAUGGAUAAUAAGGGAUGUAUCUACAACUAAAAUAUGUCUAGAUUCGUCUCUGUUUAUCCAUUUUGAUGACAAGUAUUUUCGGACGGAGGGAGUAGUAG
rfam:Triticum aestivum genome assembly, contig: Triticum_aestivum_CS42_TGACv1_scaffold_081907_1DS